rnacentral:rRNA from 1 species
AUUGAACGCUGGCGGCAUGCUUUACACAUGCAAGUCGAACGGCAGCGCGGGCUUCGGCCUGGCGGCGAGUGGCGAACGGGUGAGUAAUGCAUCGGAACGUGCCCAGUAGUGGGGGAUAGCCCGGCGAAAGCCGGAUUAAUACCGCAUACGACCUGAGGGUGAAAGCGGGGGACCGAAAGGCCUCGCGCUAUUGGAGCGGCCGAUGUCGGAUUAGCUAGUUGGUGGGGUAAAGGCUUACCAAGGCGGCGAUCCGUAGCUGGUCUGAGAAGACGACCAGCCACACUGGGACUGAGACACGGCCCAGACUCCUACGGGAGGCAGCAGUGGGGAAUUUUGGACAAUGGGGGCAACCCUGAUCCAGCCAUGCCGCGUGCGGGAAGAAGGCCUUCGGGUUGUAAACCGCUUUUGUUCGGGAAGAAAUCCUCUGGGCUAAUACCCCGGGGGGAUGACGGUACCGGAAGAAUAAGCACCGGCUAACUACGUG